UGGCUGUUUUAGGGCUGGAAGGAGUGGGCUCCAAAUACGGCAUUAUCCGCAAUGGGCCUUGCAGUUCUCAAAACCAUCGAUCAAUCCACCAGCAGUAAUGUCGAUGACUUCUCUCCUAAACUCUACAGAGUCAUGGUACUCCUGAAUGCAGCAGACUCAGAUGUCAAGAGGAAUCUGCUCAAAUUAGGGGGUGUGAUGACCCCUGAGCCUUGGCGGAGAUCAUAAGAUGGAAGGCACCC
rnacentral:lncRNA from 1 species